AACUAACAAGGAUUCCCCUAGUAACGGCGAGUGAAGAGGGAAGAGCCCAAGAUUGAAAGCUGGCGCCUUCGGCGUCCGCAUUGUAAUCUCAAGAAGUGUUUUCCGCUUCGGACCAUGCCUAAGUCCCUUGGAAAAGGGCAUCAUAGAGGGUGAUAAUCCCGUACAUGGCAUGGAGCGCCCGAAGCUUUGUGAUACGCUUUCUAAGAGUCGAGUUGUUUGGGAAUGCAGCUCAAAAUGGGUGGUAAAUGCCAUCUAAGGCUAAAUAUUGGGGAGAGACCGAUAGCGAACAAGUACAGUGAUGGAAAGAUGAAAAGAACUUUGAAAAGAGAGUUAAACAGUACGUGAAAUUGCCAAAAGGGAAGGGUAGGAGGUCAGAGAUGCGUCGCAGGAUUCAGCCUUGCUUUUGCUUGGUGUUUUUCCUGCGUUGCAGGCCAACGUCGGUUUUGGGCACUGGAGAAGGGUAGGAGGAACGUGGCACCUCUCGGGGUGUGUUAUAGCCUCCUACUGGAUACAGCGACCGAGACCGAGGAACGCAGCGUACUCGUAAGAGCGGGCCUUUUGGCACCUUUACGCUUAGG
rnacentral:rRNA from 1 species